AGGGGAGGGGACUCAGGUCUCCCUUUAAUCUUCCUUGGUUGUAUCUGCUUAUUAGCCAUGUUGCCAUAGUAGCAGAUGCUGUGGACGCCUCACUGGUCCUCAGCCCAGCUCUGAGUUCACCCACAGCCCUGAUAACUUUCACUUCCAUGGUCCCUCCAUUAUUUGCUUUUCUUCUUGAUGGCUUCCUCCAUGGGCUGCGGGAACUUGUUCAGUCCACAUGCAGGAUUCCUGGAAAUGCCUGAAAGUUCACGCUUCCAGAGGCACCCUCAACCAAGGAGAGAUGGAAGAUGACAGAUAAAUAGCUCAGCUUCUCCAUAUUUGGGGGGAUCUUCUACAUGUUUCCACAGAGGUCCCCAGCAAGAGCCCACAGUAGUAACACACUCAUAAAUACACCCUCCCUUGUUCGUGCUCCCUGGGACCCAUUCUCAAAUAAACGACUUGCACACAACCUCUCGUCUCAGGAUCUGUAUCGAAGCACAAACAUCUGUGUCUCCCUUAGGCUUUCGUCAGGGGACCUAGCUUUGUGCCAAGUAGUCGAACAGAAAGGGGGUUAAUACGGCACUGGUUUCAAAGGUGCUGGAAGAGCUGACAAGGCAACCAUGUGACAAGGAGACCACGCAGAGACAAGACCCAGGAGGAAGCCACAGCCACCACCCCCAGCUUCAAGUCUAGAUUCCGAGACUCGGCCUCCAGUCUCGACUGCGCCGCCAUUAAAGGACAAAAAGAAAGCACCGAAAAACGUUUGCACUUUCACAGAAGUCCUGCCAGGACCGAGGAAGGAGCAGCCCUUCCCCACCCCUCUUGGCUCACAACCCUCCCUCGCAGCCCCCGCCCCUCCCUCUCUCGGCCACUUGUUCACAAGUAGCUUAGCAGUUUUGAGGAUACAAAAACAGGAAAUUGUGCACCAGUCCUGACUAAAGCUAAAAACGCAUGAGCAAACCCUUCAUCGCACAGAUUUCUUCAGCUCUCAGAAAACGAGGGCCUUGAAAAAUCAGGCCCCCUGGCCGAGAUCUCUGGAUUUGCUUAAUCAUUUCCUUUGCAAAUGUGUAACUUCUUUAGCCACGAAGACGAGAUGAUUUGAGGAGGAAGAACAAUUUUAACUCAACACACUCUUGCUAAUAUAGCUGUGAUGCAUAUAAAGCAGAAACCCCCGCAUCUAGAAGGAGAAAUAAAUGCACAAUCGUGGUUGUAAGUUUCACCUUUCUUCUAUUAGUAACUAAAAAACAAACCAACAAAGGCAAGUUAGCAAAAAAAAAAAAAAGACCAGCACUAUUUAUACACUUGGUUUAAUCAAUGUUUAUAGAACAAAGCAAUCAAUAACUGCAAAAUAUAUAUUCUUUUUAAAGUACACAUGGAAUAUUUACCAAAAUUGACAUGUGCUGGCCUAUUGAGUAGGUCUCAGAUUUAGAAGGAGGGGUGGGCAGGGUUUGCUGUUGGAUUGGAUGUGAAGAUCAGAGAAAGGCUGGAGUCAGGGCUAACACGGAAGGACUCGGUGUUCUGAAGUCAAGAAUGACUGGUUCACGCAUAAUUAGCAUUUUGGAAAGAUAGGAGUGUGUGUGUGUUUGUAGCACUUAUAAGAUAGGAGUAUUUCUAUGUGUGAAUUAAGGUGGGAAUGAACCUGUGUCCAACUGAACAUGAAACAAUUAUUCAAACUUGGUUUCUGGAAUAUUCCCAGAGUGAAACAAGCCCCUGGUUUUAUCACUGUCUUCUCAGUUUAAGUAUUUGCUUGUCUUGUGAACUGAGUAGGCAUUAUCUGUUUCAGUUUGGAGUGGUGGACACAAAGAAAUAACUCUUUAAAAGUUCCAUGGUGUUGACAAACACUUCUGAAAAAAAUGAAGUGGAUGACCCAAUUCCUGGCCUCCUUUAUCAAAGAGGGAUUGGUUUAUUCAUUGACCAAUUGAGUAUCAGUUGUGAGUCUGGGUCUGGGAGAGUGAUAAGAAAAGCAGAGACCACUCCAGGAUGGACUCAGCCUUAUUUUUACAUACUCCCUUCAGAUUUUUUUUAUAUAGAUUAUUUCACAGUUAUGAAAGUACCUUGCAAACAGCAGGUGAUUAAUAAAAUGCAUAUUGACUGCCUGACUAUCCAGUUCAAUGCAAACUAUUUUGUAUUAUGCUUUGUUCAUGUGGCCAAGUCACUUCAGUUGUGUCCAACUCUUUGUGACCCUGUGGACUGUAGCCCACGAGGCUCCUCUGUCCAUGGGAUUUAUCCAGGCAAGAAUACUGGAGUGGGUUGUCAUUCCCUUCUCCAGGGGGUCUUCCCAACCCAAGGGUUGAACUCACCUCUCUUAUGUCUCCUGCAUUGGCAGGCGGCUUCUCUAACACCAGCACGACCGGGGAAGCCCAUGCUUUGUACAUGUAAGCUCUAUGAUAUGAUGUGAUGUUAUAAUCAUUGCGUGUACAUUCCACUUAUGUUUUUUCAUAAGAUGUGUGGCUAUAAGCUCUAUGGUGCUAGGAUUUCUCGUGUCAGUGUGCGAGCUUGGCUGAGCCACUUUUCUUUGCUGUACUGUCGUGCAUAGAAUUACUACAGAUCACUCUGCUUUGAACUCCACCACAGUGAGUCGUUCUAUAUAUUGUGUUUUGCCUUUUUUGUAAAUUUCCUAAAAUGAUCAUAGACUAUGGAAUUAAACAUCCCAAGCUAAACCUUCAAGUUAGCUGAGCAGGAAGCCCCAAAAGAUUAAGCCAAAAUGGGAUUCCUUCUAUAAGAUCAGGUUGUAAUAAAAUGAACUGCACAAGAUGAU